UCCUGGCUCAGGAUGAAACGCUGGCGGCAUGCCUAAUACAUGCAAGUCGAACGAGAGACCUUCGGGUCUCUAGUGGCGAACGGGUGAGUAACACGUAGGGAACCUGCCCGCGCACCGGGAAUACGCUCUGGAAACGGAGAACAAAUCCCGAUGUACAGGAAGGAGGCAUCUUCUUUCUGUGAAACAUCCUCUAGGGGGAUGGGGCGCGGAUGGACCUGCGGUGCAUUAGUUUGUUGGCGGGGUAAAGGCCCACCAAGACGAUGAUGCAUAGCCGGCCUGAGAGGGCGGACGGCCACAUUGGGACUGAGACACGGCCCAGACUCCUGCGGGAGCAGCAGUAGGGAAUUUUUCGCAAUGGGCCAAGCCUGAACGAGCGAUGCCGCGUGAGUGAAGAAGGCCUUCGGGUCGUAAAGCUCUGUUGCGGGGGAAAAAAGGCAGCAUCAGGAAAUGGGUGCUGACUGAUGGUGCCCCGCCAGAAAGUCACGGGCUAAC
rnacentral:rRNA from 1 species